rnacentral:rRNA from 1 species
UACAGAGGGGGCAAGCGUUGUUCGGAAUUACUGGGCGUAAAGGGUGCGUAGGCGGGUCUUUAAGUCAGGGGUGAAAUCCUGGAGCUCAACUCCAGAACUGCCUUUGAUACUGAGAGCCUUGAGUCCGGAAGAGGUAAGUGGAACUGCGAGUGUAGAGGUGAAAUUCGUAGAUAUUCGCAAGAACACCAGUGGCGAAGGCGGCUUACUGGUCCGGUACUGACGCUGAGGUGCGAAAGCGUGGGGAGCAAACAGG